UACGUAGGGUGCAAGCGUUAUCCGGAAUUAUUGGGCGUAAAGAGCUCGUAGGCGGUGUGUCGCGUCGGCCGUGAAAACCUGCAGCUUAACUGUGAGCCUGCAGGCGAUACGGGCAGACUUGAGUACUGCAGGGGAGACUGGAAUUCCUGGUGUAGCGGUGAAAUGCGCAGAUAUCAGGAGGAACACCGGUGGCGAAGGCGGGUCUCUGGGCAGUAACUGACGCUGAGGAACGAAAGCGUGGGUAGCAAACAGG
rnacentral:rRNA from 1 species